GACGAACGCUGGCGGCGUGCCUAAUACAUGCAAGUCGAGCGAAGUUUUUCUGGUGCUUGCACUAGAAAAACUUAGCGGCGAACGGGUGAGUAACACGUAAAGAACCUGCCUCAUAGACUGGGACAACUAUUGGAAACGAUAGCUAAUACCGGAUAACAGUAUUUCUCGCAUGAGAGAUAUUUAAAAGUUGGUUAUGCUAACACUAUGAGAUGGCUUUGCGGUGCAUUAGCUAGUUGGCGGGGUAAAGGCCCACCAAGGCGACGAUGCAUAGCCGACCUGAGAGGGUGAUCGGCCACACUGGGACUGAGACACGGCCCAGACUCCUACGGGAGGCAGCAGUAGGGAAUCUUCCGCAAUGGGCGAAAGCCUGACGGAGCAACGCCGCGUGAGUGAAGAAGGAGUUCGGUUCGUAAAGCUCUGUUGUUAGGGAAGAAUGGAUAUGUAGUAACUAUACAUGUAAGAGACGGUACCUAACCAGAAAGCCACGGCUAACUACGUG
rnacentral:rRNA from 1 species